rnacentral:misc_RNA from 1 species
UACGGAGGGUGCGAGCGUUAAUCGGAAUUACUGGGCGUAAAGCGUGCGUAGGCGGCCGCUUAAGUCUGAUGUGAAAGCCCCGGGCUUAACCUGGGAAUGGCAUUGGAGACUGGGCGGCUAGAGUGCGAUAGAGGAUGGUGGAAUUCCCGGUGUAGCGGUGAAAUGCGUAGAGAUCGGGAGGAACACCAGUGGCGAAGGCGACCAUCUGGGUCUGCACUGACGCUCAGGCACGAAAGCGUGGGGAGCAAACAGG